UGCUCCGCCCCACCGCAUGGUGGGGUGGGAAAUGCUUUUUGCGGCAUGGGAUGGGGUCGCGUCCUAUCAGCUUGUUGGCGGGGUGAUGGCCCACCAAGGCGUUGACGGGUAGCCGGCCUGAGAGGGUGACCGGCCACAUUGGGACUGAAAUACGGCCCAAACUCCUACGGGAGGCAGCAGUGGGGAAUAUUGCACAAUGGGCGCAAGCCUGAUGCAGCGACGCCGCGUGCGGGAUGGAGGCCUUCGGGUUGUAAACCGCUUUUGUUCAAGGGCAAGGCACGGUUUCGGCCGUGUUGAGUGGAUUGUUCGAAUAAGCACCGGCUAACUACGUGCCAGCAGCCGCGGUAAUACGUAGGGUGCGAGCGUUAUCCGGAAUUAUUGGGCGUAAAGGGCUCGUAGGCGGUUCGUCGCGUCCGGUGUGAAAGUCCAUCGCCUAACGGUGGAUCUGCGCCGGGUACAGGCGGGCUGGAGUGCGGUAGGGGAGACUGGAAUUCCCGGUGUAACGGUGGAAUGUGUAGAUAUCGGGAAGAACACCAAUGGCGAAGGCAGGUCUCUGGGCCGUUACUGACGCUGAGGAGCGAAAGCGUGGGGAGCGAACAGGAUUAGAUACCCUGGUAGUCCACGCCGUAAACGGUGGAUGCUGGAUGUGGGGCCCUUUCCACGGGUCCUGUGUCGGAGCCAACGCGUUAAGCAUCCCGCCUGGGGAGUACGGCCGCAAGGCUAAAACUCAAAGAAAUUGACGGGGGCCCGCACAAGCGGCGGAGCAUGCGGAUUAAUUCGAUGCAACGCGAAGAACCUUACCUGGGCUUGACAUGUUCCCGACAGCCCCAGAGAUGGGGCCUCCCUUCGGGGCGGGUUCACAGGUGGUGCUUGGUCGUCGUCAGCUCGUGUCGUGAGAUGUUGGGUUAAGUCCCGCAACGAGCGCAACCCUUUUCCUUAUUUGCCAGCGGGUUAAGCCGGGAACUUUAAGGAUACUGCCAGUGACAAACUGGAGGAAGGCGGGGACGACGUCAAGUCAUCAUGGCCCUUACGACCAGGGCUACACACGUGCUACAAUGGUCGGUACAAAGGGUUGCUACCUAGCGAUAGGAUGCUAAUCUCAAAAAGCCGAUCGUAGUCCGGAUUGGAGUCUGCAACUCGACUCCAUGAAGUCGGAAUCGCUAGUAAUCGCGGAUCAGAAUGC
rnacentral:rRNA from 1 species